ACCGGCGGACGGGCGCGUAACGCGUAUGCAACCUGCCUGACACAGGGGGAUAAUCCGAAGAAAUUUGGUCUAAUACCCCAUAAUACCGAUAUAGGCAUCUAUGUUGGUUGAAAGCUUUGGUGGUGUCAGAUGGGCAUGCGUUGUAUUAGUUAGUUGGUGAGGUAACGGCUCACCAAGGCGACGAUACAUAGGGGGACUGAGAGGUUAACCCCCCACACUGGUACUGAGACACGGUCCAAACUCCUACGGGAGGCAGCAUG
rnacentral:rRNA from 1 species